UGUCAAUGAUGAUUUGGCAUGUAUUCUGAUUCUAAAGUUGAUGUUUAUCACCAGUUAGCUCUAGAAUUACUCUGAGGCAUG